GUGGGGAAUUUUGGACAAUGGGCGAAAGCCUGAUCCAGCCAUGCCGCGUGUGUGAAGAAGGUCUUCGGAUUGUAAAGCACUUUAAGUUGGGAGGAAGGGUAGUAACCUAAUACGUUGCUACUUUGACGUUACCGACAGAAUAAGCACCGGCUAACUUCGUGCCAGCAGCCGCGGUAAUACGAAGGGUGCAAGCGUUAAUCGGAAUUACUGGGCGUAAAGCGCGCGUAGGUGGUUUUGUAAGUUGGAGGUGAAAUCCCCGGGCUCAACCUGGGAACUGCCUCCAAAACUGCAUGACUAGAGUACGGUAGAGGGUAGUGGAAUUUCCUGUGUAGCGGUGAAAUGCGUAGAUAUAGGAAGGAACACCAGUGGCGAAGGCGACUACCUGGACUGAUACUGACACUGAGGUGCGAAAGCGUGGGGAGCAAACAGGAUUAGAAACCCUUGUAGUCC
rnacentral:rRNA from 1 species